ACUGCCGGUGGACAAACCGGAGGAAGGUGGGGAUGACGUCAAGUCCUCAUGGCCCUUAUGGGUAGGGCUUCACACGUCAUACAAUGGUCGGUACAGAGGGUUGCCAAGCCGCGAGGUGGAGCCAAUCCCUUAAAGCCGAUCGUAGUCCGGAUCGUAGUCUGCAACUCGACUACGUGAAGUCGGAAUCGCUAGUAAUCGCAGAUCAGCAUGCUGCGGUGAAUACGUUCCCGGGUCUU
rnacentral:rRNA from 1 species